AGCUAUUUAGCUUAUUAUAAAGUGUAUACCUUGAAAGUAUAAGAAAGAUUGUAUUUAAUAGCUU
rnacentral:tRNA from 1 species